GAUGAGAAGGUACAAACCAAAAGGAAUAGAGGAGCAAUGGGGAACAAGUGAAAACACAGUCAAAUCACACCCAAAACCCUCUAAUUCAAUCCUCUUCUUGACUCCAUUAUUCACACAACAAUUUUUUUUUAAUUUUCUCAUUUUUCUGUAUUUUUUUUCUCUUUUUUUUUCAUCUUGUCUCUUUUCUUUUUUCUAUUCAACACACAAUUUAUAGGGAAAAGCUACAUCAUAUUUACACAACAAAAACAA
rnacentral:lncRNA from 1 species